rnacentral:antisense_RNA from 1 species
CUUGAUCGAACCCGUCCACAACGGGUGCUCCGCGGGGCGGUCUUGCCCGUAGGUAGCCAAUAAGGCUUGAGCCUC